rnacentral:misc_RNA from 1 species
AAAUGCGAUAAGUAGUGUGAAUUGCAGAAUUCAGUGAAUCAUCGAAUCUUUGAACGCACAUUGCGCCCUUUGGUAUUCCUUAGGGCAUGCCUGUUCGAGCGUCAUUUAAACCUUCAAGCUCAGCUUGGUGUUGGGUGACUGUCCGCUUCACCGCGGACUCGCCUCAAAAUUAUUGGCGGCCGGUACAUUGGCUCUCGAGCGCAGCAGAAACGCGUAACUCGAGGUCCUCGUGCUGGCUCCCAGAAGCUAUCUUCACAAUUUUGACCACGGAUCAGGUAGGGAUACCCGCUGAACUUAAGC